AAAUCAGACAGAGGCGCAAUCAACAAGAGUAUUAAUCUUGAGCCAGCCACGGCACAGACGGAUUAAGAAAGGGGCGAUUGCCGAAGUGCAAGGACCUGGCAAGUCCUUGUGCUGGGGCGGGGUUUAAGAGACCUCGGACUGUCGCAACGAGUUAACACGUUGCGGGGCGCUAUCGGUGAC
rnacentral:ncRNA from 2 species